UUCCCUCAUUUAUGUCACCUAAUCAGAAAAAGGAAAAAGGGACUCUUUCCCUUUUCCUUUUCUCUCUCUCCCAUAUACUUUCUUCUUCUGUGCAAACCCUCAACGAGCUUCAAAGCUCACAGAUCGAACCCAAGAACCUCGUUUUCGUGUUCGUCUCAUCCUCACGAACACAACCAUGUUCUUAAAGCCUAGAAUGGACGAAUUUUCAACGUCGAACUCGUGAGGUCCGAACUCGGGCAAACUGAGUUCGACGUGUUUUCGAGUGAGUUAAGGUGUUUUGAAGCUUGGGAAAGCUUCUAUGAAACUCCUCGAGGCUCUUACAACAAUUUGGGAGAAGUUUGGAAGUGAAAUGAUCGAGUUUCAAAGAGUUCACUUUUGACCGGAACUUUUGAGGCUUUUUCCAGCGAAAUCCAUCCACUUUUUGGACUCAAAACAGAAAUCUGAUGAAAAACCUAGUUGCAAACGACGACGGAUGACGGUGAAGGCAGGGCUCACGGGAGAAGGAGACGGAAUAUUCUGUCAGAGUUGAUGGAAUAUUCCUGACGGUGUCAGGACCUAGAUAGUUGUACUCUUUGUGGCACUCGAGGAAUCUUGGCAGUUCUGACAUUCUCUUCUGAUUAGACAAAUCCUAAAAGCCACAGUGAUAACACAGAUGAAGAACACGAAGCACAACAAACCGGAGAUCUAGAGGACAAGAGCCUAGUAAAUUUCACAAGAUCCUCAGGUUCAAAGUUAAAAAGUGAGAAAGAGUGAGCAAUGUUUCCAAACAGGGCAGAGAGUAGCACAUUAAACCCCC